UACGGAGGGUGCAAGCGUUACUCGGAAUUACUGGGCGUAAAGCGUGCGUAGGUGGUUCGUUAAGUCUGAUGUGAAAGCCCUGGGCUCAACCUGGGAAUUGCAUUGGAUACUGGCGGGCUAGAGUACGGUAGAAGGUGGCGGAAUUCCUGGUGUAGCAGUGAAAUGCGUAGAUAUCAGGAGGAACAUCCGUGGCGAAGGCGGCCACCUGGACCAGUACUGACACUGAGGCACGAAAGCGUGGGGAGCAAACAGG
rnacentral:rRNA from 1 species